AAAGAUUUAGUUUAUAAUAAAACAUUAAUUUGUCAAGUUAAAAAUAUUUUAAUUAAAUAAUCUUUA
rnacentral:tRNA from 2 species